UACGAAGGUCCCAAGCGUUGUUCGGAAUCACUGGGCGUAAAGGGAGCGUAGGCGGCGUGGUAAGUCAGAUGUGAAAUCCCGGGGCUCAACCCCGGAACUGCAUCCGAUACUGCCAUGCUAGAGGAUUGGAGAGGUCGCUGGAAUUCUUGGUGUAGCAGUGAAAUGCGUAGAGAUCAAGAGGAACACUCGUGGCGAAAGCGAGCUACUGGACAAUUCCUGACGCUGAGGCUCGAAGGCUAGGGUAGCGAAAGGG
rnacentral:rRNA from 1 species